ensembl:lncRNA
CAGUGGUUUAUUCCAUCAAGCACACAGCAAUACAAGGGCAGCUAUAACAAUUGUUUAAAUGUACCAAAAUCACAUUUCAAGUAAGAACACAUGGCAUGAAAACAUGGUUUCUGCUUCUAUUUGUGGCAAACAGAACAAACUCGUUUUCCACAGAAGCUGUAAUUAUGCUAGACCCUGAAUACAUGCAGCAGAAGAGCCACUUGAAUUUACACCUUGCAGCCUUGAAUGCUUUUUAAACGAAUACAGUUCAUUGUGCUCCUGCACACUAUCUCCCAUCAACAGAGAACAGCCAUGCUGCUUGACCCAGGCACGACCUAAGGCGGAUACAGCUGCAUUCAACACUCAGUUCUGUACCGUAGUUAACAAGGACACACAAAAAAAAGGUGCUCCCAUUUAUCAGCCGCAGCAGGCAGGCACAUUACCACAAGCUGCUCAGAAACAUCAAUGCAUAAAAAUGAAAGGCAGCUUAGAGUCUCUGCUCUAUCCCUCUGUCAAAGCAUAAGAACUGUCACCACAAGUACCUUUAAGAAGUAGGACCUUUGCUUCUGCUAAAGGCUGACAAUGAAAACGUGGGCCAGCUUUGUCACCUCGCUGCUACAAACAGCACAUUUCAGACCAUCUUCGGUUUCCUCACAUAGUGCUUUGCAGCCACUGGUACCACUCCAAAGACAAAUGUGCUGGAGCACCAAGCCAACUCAAGUGCUCACCGCCGGCUCAUCUCACCCUCCUUCCCACACAUGCUGCAGGCAGGUUUAUUUUUCACGUUGAUCUAUUAGUAACGUAUUUUGAUACACAGAUAUUUUCAUGUCAGUUUCUCUCACUGCGAGCCAGCCAACAACUCUCAGGAAGCACAGACCGGAAGUUGUGGAUUUAUAUCUGUUUAGUCACCAAUUUAAACAUCUCAUAGGGGACACUCAGCCACAUGCCCACUUCCUAUCUCCCAUCUACCACACAGACGAGAGAAGUCCUUCAGCAAUUAAGGCUGUAGGCCAACAGAAACCACAAAAAUUCAAAGCAAACUGAGUCAGGAGCCACCCACAUCUGAUAUAGCUCACAAGGAAGGAAGUGAGUGUGUACAAUUUCUCUGAUGGCUGGGGGGUGCAGGAGAGAAGGCAAAAGACAACCAACAGAGUGCCCAAACCCUACAGCAGCCACCAGGAGGCUCCAGUAUUUGUGCAUGUAACAGAUCUGUGAGAGGCUCAGAGGGAAGGGGGGAACGCAUCUUACUCAUGAGAAGCAAUGCGGGAGCCAGAACUGGAGCACGUCAGCUCUGACAAUGACUGGUGCCACUGCCCCACGAAAGGCAAGACCUGCUUAGACAGGGCACAGCCAAAGUCAGAUACAUCCAACUGCAAUUCUGCAAUGCCAAGAAGAGACUUCCAGAGGAAGAAGAGUGGCCAUGUUCUAAGAUCUGGACUGACUGGGACCACACAGGUUAGAGGUCAGUGGAGAAGGCACCAACUGGUCAAGGCAUGGAAGCUUCUGUUUUGACAUAAGGGUGUGAGAGGAUGGGAGUGUUCUUUUAGACUUGUUUGUUUUUCUGAAGAGGGUGGCAGUGAUGUGUACAUGCCAGGAACUGAACGGCUUCCUACAGGUCAAAGAUGAUGACAUUCAAGCACUGGGGGUAGCAAAGAAAAGAGAAAGAUCAGCUGUGGGGCUGUAGGCACAGCUUUAGCUAUGACAGUUUGGAAACAGUCCUAACACAGGUAAUGGCAGAAGAGCCAUAAAAAUUUAGAUUGUUUGAAGGAAUCUGAAACUGCUUUCUCUUCAGAGCAAGUUCAAGUGAGCUAACAGUUUAUAAGCAGGGAAGAAAGGGAAGCAACAGGUGGGAUAGAUGUAACUUUUCUAAUUCAGUCUUGGGAACACGAGAGUAAGACUGCUGUGAGAACCAGCAAACAGAGGUAGCACAGAACAGCAGAUCAAGGAGACACUACAAAAACAUAGCAGAUGGCUGCUGUACCACGGUAUGGUUCCUCUGCACCACGAACUGCAGGACUCCUUCUCGCAGCCUCCAUCUGCUGUUUGCUCAGAGGUGUGCUUCUGAAGGAAGUACAGAGGGUUAACCGAAAGGCAGAAGUGUAGAAUAAAGGAAAAAAAAAAAAAAAGGUAAAGCACCUGAUGAAGGGAAAGGAUGCACCCGUAUUUUGUCACUAUUCUUGUUAGAGACAACAUGAGUGCUCUAAAAGAGAAGCCUGUUCUUCUCUCCUAACAGCUGCUCAUAGGUUCAUAACGUGCAGGUUUGUUGGAGUUGGAUAAGACUCUGGCACACCUUAGUGCUUCCCUUAGGACAUAUUAGCCUUCCUCUGCCACUGACUUCAAAGGAAACAAGACAAAUCCUGUUCCAACGACACUGGCCAAGUGCUGACUACAGGAAGAUUCAAGAAACAAGCGUUCCCUUUGAGGCUGAGGUCCCCUGUACAGAUCAGGCAAUCUGGAGAGUGAUAACGAGCUCUGCUCACUCUGCUUUCAAAAGGAAAAAGUUGCAAGGGAAUCAUCAGCACAGUUGUCCCAGCUUCUAGAUAUGCAACCUCUUGCAGGAUAGGAAAAGUCAGCUUGGUUUGCUCCUUUUUCUUCUGUUCCCAAUUCAGAUAUCAUAAAUAUUUCACUGAGCA